GAGCUCAAAUUGCAACACCAGGAGCUUUUUUGUUGCAUGCCCAACAAUUCGCACGUCAGCUGUCGAAAUUUAAACAGCCAAUAAAACUCCACUUUGUAGAGUUUACGUAAAACUGAACAAUAGAAAUUGCAUGCUGGUAGGUAGAGUUUUAUUGGCUGUUUAAAUAUCGCCAGCUGACGUGCGAAUUUGGCGUGAUAUUUCCUCAAGGAAAUUUUGGGCAUGCAACAAAAAAGUUCCUGGUGUUGCAACUUGAGCUCAAAGAACAAAUAGCGCAUAGCUAUAUAUAUAUAUCUUUGUUUUAAUGCAACCUCACGAAAAUAGUGUGAAUUGUUUAUUACGGACAUAAGAAAGGAAUUCUACGACAUUGUUGUCAACCAGGUGAAGCUGAUGAUAAAGCAGGAUGAUGGCCUUGGAAUGCCCUCCUAUGACGACAUCUUCCACGAUGAAAAGGAAGGCAGCGAGGACUGGGAAUAAGAGCGAUGGAGGCUCAGUGCCUUCUGGGAAACGGAGAUGAUGCGAUGAGAUGCGAGAUCCUGUUUGACUAUGACCAAUAUGAAUACCGUGGAACUUCAGUGGACUCCAAUCAAAUUGUAGAAACAUCUCAAGGAUGAUCAAUGGAAACAGAAUGCACC